GAUGAACGCUGGCGGCGUGCCUAAUACAUGCAAGUCGAGCGAACAGACGAGGAGCUUGCUCCUCUGAUGUUAGCGGCGGACGGGUGAGUAACACGUGGAUAACCUACCUAUAAGACUGGGAUAACUUCGGGAAACCGGAGCUAAUACCGGAUAAUAUAUUGAACCGCAUGGUUCAAUAGUGAAAGACGGUUUUGCUGUCACUUAUAGAUGGAUCCGCGCCGCAUUAGCUAGUUGGUAAGGUAACGGCUUACCAAGGCAACGAUGCGUAGCCGACCUGAGAGGGUGAUCGGCCACACUGGAACUGAGACACGGUCCAGACUCCUACGGGAGGCAGCAGUAGGGAAUCUUCCGCAAUGGGCGAAAGCCUGACGGAGCAACGCCGCGUGAGUGAAGAAGGUCUUCGGAUCGUAAAACUCUGUUAUUAGGGAAGAACAAAUGUGUAAGUAACUAUGCACGUCUUGACGGUACCUAAUCAGAAAGCCACGGCUAACUACGUG
rnacentral:rRNA from 1 species